GAUGAAGAACGCAGCGAAAUGCGAUAAGUAAUGUGAAUUGCUGAAUUCAGUGAAUCAUCGAAUCUUUGAACGCACAUUGCGCCCCCUGGUAUUCCGGGGGGCAUGCCUGUCCGAGCGUCAUUACAACCCUCAAGCUCAGCUUGGUAUUGGGCCCCGCCGACCCGGCGGGCCCUAAAGUCAGUGGCGGUGCCGUCCGGCUCCGAGCGUAGUAAUUCUUCUCGCUCUGGAGGUCCGGUCGUGUGCUCGCCAGCAACCCCCAAUUUUUUUCAGGUUGACCUCGGAUCAGGUAGGGAUACCCGCUGAACUUAAGCAUAUCAAUAAGCGGAGGA
rnacentral:misc_RNA from 1 species